rnacentral:rRNA from 1 species
CCUACGGGAGACAGCAGUGAGGAAUAUUGGUCAAUGGGCGGAAGCCUGAACCAGCCAAGUCGCGUGAGGGAUUAAGGCCCUGCGGGUCGUAAACCUCUUUUGCCGGGGAGCAGAGGUCCGGACGUGUCCGGGCCGGGAGAGUACCCGGAGAAAAAGCCUCGGCUAACUCCGUGCCAGCAGCCGCGGUAAUCCGGAGGAUGCGAGCGUUAUCCGUAUUUAUUGGGUUUAAAGGGUGCGUAGGCGGGCCUUUAAGCCGGCGGUCAAAUGUCGGGGCUCAACCCCGGCCUGCCGUCGAAACUGGGUGCCUUGAGUGGGCGAGAAGUAUGCGGAAUGCGUGGUGUAGCGGUGAAAUGCAUAGAUAUCACGCAGAACCCCGAUUGCGAAGGCAGCAUACCGGCGCCCUACUGACGCUGAGGCACGAAAGUGCGGGUAUCGAACAGGAUUAGAUACCCGAGUAGUC